rnacentral:lncRNA from 1 species
AAAAACUGGGGAUUGAAAAGAGGGAAACCAGUGGGAUUUUGGACGAGAAACCGAGGAAAAACUCCAGCUAAACCCAGACGAAAAACCAUAGAAGAAAAUCAGAGAAAAGAGGAGAGAAAAAGCAGAGCAUAAAUCCAAAGCACAAAUUCGCAGAGAGAAGGAGAAGAGAGAGGGGCAAUACAGAGAAGAAUCACCUUGUUAUUGUCUUCAUCGCUGCAGAAAAAGAAGAACCCGAAGUCAGUAAAAAACUCAGAAAAGCUGGCAUAUGCAUUACUUUCUUAGUUAGCUCACCUCAAGAACUGAGAAGAAGGGAGAACAGUGAACGCAGCGGGGAGAAGGCAAAGAACACGAACAGAAGAGGAAAGCAGAGGAGAGCAGAUGUUAAGUAAAAAAACUCAACAAACAGA